rnacentral:misc_RNA from 1 species
GAUGAAGAACGCAGCGAAACGCGAUAUGUAAUGUGAAUUGCAGAAUUCAGUGAAUCAUCGAAUCUUUGAACGCACAUGGCGCCUUCCAGUAUCCUGGGAGGCAUGCCUGUCCGAGCGUCGUUUCAACCCUCGAGCCCCCGUGGCCCGGCGUUGGGGAUCUGCCCAGGCAGUCCCCGAAAACCAGUGGCGGACCCGUUACAGGCCCUUCCCUUGCGUAGUAGCAUUCGCCUCGCAUCGGGAGCCGGCGGGCUUCCAGCCUCUAAACCCCCAUCAAGUCCGCCCCGGCGGCACCAAGGUUGACCUCGGAUCAGGUAGGAAUACCCGCUGAACUUAAGCAUAUCAAUAGCGGAGA